rnacentral:rRNA from 1 species
CCGCAUGGUAGAACUAUUAAAGAAUUUCGGUCAUCGGAUGGGGAAUGCGGUUCCAUUAGGUUGUUGGGCGGGGUAACGGCCCACCAAGCCUUCGAUGGAUAGGGGUUCUGAGAGGAAGGUCCCCCACAUUGGAACUGAGACACGGUCCAAACUCCUACGGGAGGCAGCAAGUGAGGAAUAUUGGUCAAUGGACGAGAGUCUGAACCAGCCAAGUAGCGUGAAGGAUGACUGCCCUAUGGGUUGUAAACUUCUUUUAUACGGGAAUAAAGUGAGGCACGCGUGCCUUUUUGUAUGUACCGUAUGAAUAAGGAUCGGCUAACUCCGUGCCAGCAGCCGCGGUAAUACGGAGGAUCCGAGCGUUAUCCGGAUUUAUUGGGUUUAAAGGGAGCGUAGGCGGACGCUUAAGUCAGUUGUGAAAGUUUGCGGCUCAACCGUAAAAUUGCAGUUGAUACUGGGUGUCUUGAGUACAGUAGAGGCAGGCGGAAUUCGUGGUGUAGCGGUGAAAUGCUUAGAUAUCACGAAGAACUCCGAUUGCGAAGGCAGCCUGCUGGACUGUAACUGACGCUGAUGCUCGAAAGUGUGGGUAUCAAACAGGAUUAGAUACCCUGGUAGUCCACACAGUAAACGAUGAAUACUCGCUGUUUGCGAUAUACAGUAAGCGGCCAAGCGAAAGCGUUAAGUAUUCCACCUGGGGAGUACGCCGGCAACGGUGAAACUCAAAGGAAUUGACGGGGGCCCGCACAAGCGGAGGAACAUGUGGUUUAAUUCGAUGAUACGCGAGGAACCUUACCCGGGCUUGAAUUGCAACUGAAUGAUGUGGAGACAUGUCAGCCGCAAGGCAGUUGUGAAGGUGCUGCAUGGUUGUCGUCAGCUCGUGCCGUGAGGUGUCGGCUUAAGUGCCAUAACGAGCGCAACCCUUAUCGAUAGUUACCAUCAGGUUAUGCUGGGGACUCUGUCGAGACUGCCGUCGUAAGAUGUGAGGAAGGUGGGGAUGACGUCAAAUCAGCACGGCCCUUACGUCCGGGGCUACACACGUGUUACAAUGGGGGGUACAGAAGGCAGCUACACGGCGACGUGAUGCUAAUCCCGAAAGCCUCUCUCAGUUCGGAUUGGAGUCUGCAACCCGACUCCAUGAAGCUGGAUUCGCUAGUAAUCGCGCAUCAGCCACGGCGCGGUGAAUACGUUCCCGGGCCUUGUACACACCGCCCGUCAAG